CUGAUUUAGAUUCAAUCAAGAUACAAAUAGAACUUGGGCUGGCCUAUUGACCAAAUACAAUAGGACUUGGGCUGCCCCAAGUAUAUGACCAUUAACCACCUUUAUAUGUGCAACGUUGCAAAUCCAACAAAAAGGAUUAGUGCUAUCUGUCUCAGAAAAUAGAUCAUAGAAUAGAAUUGUUACUUUGUUCUGCAUGUCUCUAGCGUACGUUUGGAAUAUUAAUGGAAGAAAUCAAAACAGCAGCAGACACAGAGAAUUGCUUGCAGAAAACUCCAACUAAUGGGAAAGUAGUAGUGGGUGUAGGAGGCUUAUGGAUUUAAAAAUUAAAAUUAAAAUAAAAGAGAAGUAUAUGUAAGUCUAAGUUGGCAAGCAAAGCAUAAAUAUUUUCCUUAGUCUACUUGCUUCUCUCAUUACACAUAUGUCUAAGUUGGCAAGCAAGCAUAAAUAUAUGUCUUUGUUUACUUACUUUUUUUAUUCCACAUAAGUCUAAGUUGGCAAGAAAGCAUAAAUGCCUUGUCUUGCCUACUUGCUUAUGGUUUUUUGGACAAUGGCAUGAUAAUCCUAUAUAUAAUAGAAGUUAUAGAUGAGUUCAAUAUGAAGUUAGCUUUAACAAAAUUGAAAUUGAGCUUAACUUGGAAGCUUUUCAAGAUGUGUUUUGAAGCCAAAAUUUGAUUCUUUUUAUGGUGUGACUGUGCAUGCAAUAGAAGAUGGAGCUUCAACAUUUUUACUAUCCAAAGCAUCGUUGAUCUUUAGUGAAGAGAGAAUUUAUGGCAAAAAAUGUUAUAGGUGCCAGGAACCAAUAUUGGAUCCUACCUAUGGUUGUAUAAAAUGCAAAGAGUAUAAAUUCUACCAUCAUAAAUCAUGUGCGAAACUACGCCUUGGGUUUCACCAUCCCUUUCACCCAAUGCAUCCUUUUAUUCUCUUUGACAAAUCAAUGGGUUAUCGUGAGAAAGAAAAUAGCAAAUGCGAACUCUGCAAAGAAUAUCACUGUGAGAACUCAACCAUUUCUAGUGGAAAUCUUGUUGGAUCUGGCUGAGUUUGCAUUUGCUGUUUUCUUUCUCACAACAACCCAUUGAUUCAUCAAAGAAAAUAAGAGGAUGUAUUGGGUGCAAGGGAUGGUGAAACCCAAUGGGUAAUUCCGCACAUGAUUUAUGAUGGUAGAACUUAUACCCUUUGCAUUUUACACAACUGUAGCUAGGAUCUAAUAUUGGUUCCUGGCACCUAUAACAUUUUUGGUCAUAAAUUCUCUCUUUAUUGAAGAUCAACGAUACUUUAUUGGUUAAUGGCACAAAUAAAUUUUUUCGCCGGUUUCUGUUGAUAUUUCACUAGAUUUCAGAAGAUUUCUGCCUCUAUGAUGCCAACCAAAUUAAUAGGCACCCGUUAAAGGCCCGAUCUAAUUAAUCUCUUCAAUUGGCAAUGGGUUGAGGUAUCUUCCACCCGAUCAGGUCGAUAGGAGCAGGUUGCGCCCAAACCCAAUCCAAUCUGAUUUGUAGACAACCCAACUUUUGUACAACUUGAAGCUGAAUCCCAAGCCCUCCCAUUGGCAAGUCAAUCAUGUUUACUUGCGACAUUUGUGGUAAAGAAGGCAAGGGUGUGCCCAAUUUAUGUGUUUCAUGUAGUUUCAGCUUCAUAGAAGUUAUGGCUCUUUCCAACGUAGAGUGAAAGUUGUACAUCACAAGCACCUUCUCCACCUUACCCAUUUUUCUCUUAAACUCCUUUAAUUUGAUUCUCGAUUUUGUCAACUUUGUGUUCGAAAUGUGAACACUAACUAUUACUAUUGCUCUAGAUGCUAUUUGUUGCCCACCUCAAUUGUGCUAUGACCAUGGAAAAAAGGGAGGACAUAAAUUUGUUAGAACUUAAAGAUGAAAAUAAUCCAAAGUUCAAUGAAUUCAUUGACUCAGCAACUUACAACAACAACCAAAAAAAAAAAAAA